rnacentral:misc_RNA from 1 species
CAGAGUUGCAAGACUCCCUAAACCAUUGUGAACCUACCUUCUACCGUUGCUUCGGCGGGCGGGCCCAGCGCCCCCCCCGGCCCCCCGCGGGCGCCCGCCGGAGGAUACCCAAACUCUUGACAUUAGUGGCCUCUCUGAGUAUUCUUUACCGAAUAAGUCA